rnacentral:tRNA from 1 species
GGUGGGUUGGCUCAGUGGGUAGAGCUAAGGGCUCGACCGGGAGUUCCGGGUUCGAAUCCCGCAAAAGGCG